rnacentral:rRNA from 1 species
UACGAAGGGGCUAGCGUUGUCCGGAUUUAUUGGGCGUAAAGAGCGUGUAGGCGGCCAUACAGGUCCGUUGUGAAAACUCGAGGCUCAACCUCGAGACGCCGGUUGAAACCAUCUGGCUAGAGUCCGGAAGAGGCGAGUGGAAUUCCUGGUGUAGCGGUGAAAUGCGCAGAUAUCAGGAGGAACACCUAUUGCGAAGGCAGCUCGCUGGGACGUAACUGACGCUGAGACGCGAAAGCGUGGGGAGCAAACAGG